CAGUAGCCACGGUAAUACGAACCGUGCGAACGUUAUACGGAAUCACUGGGCUUAAAGCGCGUGUAGGCGGAUGGGAGCGUCGGCCUCUGAAAUCCCCCGGCUCAACCGGGGAAGUGGAGCCGAAACGACCCGUCUGGAGGGACGUAGGGGGACCUGGAACUUCCUGUGGAGCGGUGAAAUGCGUUGAGAUCGGAAGGAACGCCCGUGGCGAAAGCGAGGUCCUGGACGUCUGCUGACGCUGAGACGCGAAAGCCAGGGGAGCGAACGGGAUUAGAUACCCCUGUAGUCCCUGUCUCUUAUA
rnacentral:rRNA from 1 species